rnacentral:rRNA from 1 species
GAUGAACGCUGGCGGCGUGCCUAACACAUGCAAGUCGAGCGAACAGAUAAGGAGCUUGCUCCUUUGACGUUAGCGGCGGACGGGUGAGUAACACGUGGGUAACCUAUCUAUAAGACUGGAAUAACUCCGGGAAACCGGGGCUAAUGCCGGAUAACAUGUUGAACCGCAUGGUUCUACAGUGAAAGGCGGCUUUGCUGUCACUUAUAGAUGGACCCGCGCCGUAUUAGCUAGUUGGUGAGGUAACGGCUCACCAAGGCAACGAUACGUAGCCGACCUGAGAGGGUGAUCGGCCACACUGGAACUGAGACACGGUCCAGACUCCUACGGGAGGCAGCAGUAGGGAAUCUUCCGCAAUGGGCGAAAGCCUGACGGAGCAACGCCGCGUGAGUGAUGAAGGUCUUCGGAUCGUAAAACUCUGUUAUUAGGGAAGAACAAAUGCGUAAGUAACUGUGCGCGUCUUGACGGUACCUAAUCAGAAAGCCACGGCUAACUACGUG